rnacentral:rRNA from 1 species
CGGGACGGGUGAGUAACGCGUGGGUAACCGUGCCUCAUACAGGGGGAUAACGGUUAGAAAUGACUGCUAAUACCGCAUAAGCGCACAGUACCGCAUGGUACAGUGUGAAAAACUACCGGUGGUAUGAGAUGGACCCGCGUCUGAUUAGCUAGUUGGUGGGGUAACGGCCCACCAAGGCGACGAUCAGUAGCCGACCUGAGAGGGUGACCGGCCACAUUGGGACUGAGACACGGCCCAG